GACGCAGGCGGCUCGGAAAGUCGGAUGUGAAAGCCCGGGGCUCAACCCCGGAACUGCAUUCGAAACUAUCGACCUUGAAUACGGGAGAGGGAAGCGGAAUUCCUGGUGUAGAGGUGAAAUUCGUAGAUAUCAGGAGGAACACCGGUGGCGAAAGCGGCUUCCUGGCCCGAUAUUGACGCUCAUGUCCGAAAGCGUGGGUAGCAAACA
rnacentral:rRNA from 1 species